UACGGGGGGAGCAAGCGUUGUUCGGAUUUACUGGGCGUAAAGGGCGCGUAGGCGGCCAGCACAAGUCAGUUGUGAAAUCUCCGAGCUUAACUCGGAAAGGUCAACUGAUACUGUGCGGCUAGAGUGCGGAAGGGGCAACUGGAAUUCACGGUGUAGCAGUGAAAUGCGUAGAUAUCGUGAGGAAGACCAGUGGCGAAGGCGAAUCUCUGGACAGAUCCUGACGCUGAGGCACGAAGGCUAGGGGAGCAAACGGG
rnacentral:rRNA from 1 species